rnacentral:rRNA from 1 species
CGAAAGCCUGACGGAGCAACGCCGCGUGUGGGAAGAAGGCUCUUGGGCUGUCAACCACUUUUCUCAGGGAAGAAGUCCUGACGGUACCUGAGGAAUCAGCCUCGGCUAACUCCGUGCCAGCAGCCGCGGUAAUACGGAGGAGGCAAGCGUUAUCCGGAAUUACUGGGCGUAAAGCGUUCGUAGGGGGCUCGUCAAGUCUGCUGUCAAAGACCGGAGCUCAACUCCGGGCAGGCAGUGGAAACUGGGGAGCUAGAGGGCGGUAGGGGCAGAAGGAAUUCCCGGUGUAGCGGUGAAAUGCGUAGAUAUCGGGAAGAACACCAGAGGCGAAAGCGUUCUGCUGGGCCGCGCCUGACCCUGAGGGACGAAAGCCAGGGGAGCG